GAUAUGCAGGGGGAGGGGGGGGGGAGAAUACGGGGGGGGCGAGCGGUGUCCGGCAGGAGUGGGCGUAAAGGUGGUGUAGGGGGCCAGGUAGGGCUGGGGUGAAAACUCGAGGCUUAGCCGCGAGAUGUCGGCGGAAACCAUCUGGCUAGAGUCCGGAAGAGGAGAGUGGAAUUCCUGGUGGAGCGGUGAAAUGCGCAGAGAUCAGGAAGAACACCCGUGGCGAAGGCGGCUCUCUGGGACGGUACUGACGCUGAGACGCGAAAGCGUGGGGAGCGAACAGGAUUAGAUACCCGUGUAGUC
rnacentral:rRNA from 1 species